rnacentral:lncRNA from 10 species
UGCUUAAUCAAAAACUCCUCUCCUGGAAUUGAAAUUUAAAAAGCAAAUGAGGGAGAGAAAGAGAGAGAUAGGAUUCUGUUUCCCAGAGGUAUUUAGAUGCCAUGCUUCUCACCAUGUGGGCCUAUUAGUUCAAAGGAAGCCUUUUAGCAGAGACAGAUAAUGAAACAACAGAAGAGGUGGACAAAGAGAUUCAGAGAGACUUAUAUCUGUGUAUGUGUUCCCAGAACCUAUUCACUCACAAUGCCCCACCUCACUUCCCUUGUCUUCCAUGACACAUUCUUGAAUCUUUGAUUACAAGUUGCAUUCUGUUUUUAAGGUAGGUAAAAUUAAUUUUUCAACUUAUAACCAAGAAUCCUAAUGUAGAAAAUAAAUAGUAACAACUGGUUCCCUCUAUGUUUGUUAGGGCUCCAGCAAUAACAUACCACACCCUGGGUGGCCUAAGUAACAGAAAUUUAUUGCAUUUUGUACACUAACCAGACUGCUACAUCAAGGUCAAAGUCUUGACUGCUUGAAUGGAAAAGAACGGCAAACAAAAUCUCUGGAUGGGGUUGUCUGAAAUCAGUAUCCUUUACAAUCUUGAAAUCUCGGUCCUCCUGAGAUCUAUAGGUCUGCAAAAGAAGCCCCCUCCUUCUUUUUUCCUGUUAAAAGCUACUUCCCCUUCUUGCUUAUACAGGUUGCAGAAGCUUCUGCUAUGCAAUGCGUACACCUCUCCGGAUCUAUUUUCACCAUCCUCCCCUGCCACCAGAACAAUAAUUAACAUCAGAUCCCUCCUCCUUUUGGUUGAAAAACUAACAACAACAACGAAAAGAGUACCUUUUUUAAAAAAUCUUUUGGAAGACUAG